rnacentral:rRNA from 1 species
CCUACGGGUGGCAGCAGUGAGGAAUAUUGGUCAAUGGACGAGAGUCUGAACCAGCCAAGCCGCGUGAAGGAUGACUGCUCUAUGGGUUGUAAACUUCUUUUAUAUGGGAAUAAAACGUUCCACGUGUGGGAUUUUGUAUGUACCAUAUGAAUAAGGAUCGGCUAACUCCGUGCCAGCAGCCGCGGUAAUACGGAGGAUCCGAGCGUUAUCCGGAUUUAUUGGGUGUAAAGGGUGCGUAGGUGGAUUGUUAAGUCAGUUGUGAAAGUCUGCGGCUCAACCGUAGAAUUGCAGUUGAAACUGGUAGUCUAGAGUAUAGGAGAGGUAGGUGGAAUUCGUGGUGUAGCGGUGAAAUGCUUAGAGAUCAAGAAGAACACCGAUUGCGAAGGCAGUUCACUAGA